rnacentral:rRNA from 1 species
UUUGGUGGCGAUAGCGAAGAGGUCACACCCGUACCCAUACCGAACACGGAAGUUAAGCUCUUCAGCGCCGAUGGUAGUCGGGGGUUUCCCCCUGUGAGAGUAGGACGCCGCCAAGC